rnacentral:rRNA from 1 species
UGAAUACGAGAUGCUACGGCGUCGAAGCAGUCUAUGUCAUACUUCCAAGAAAAGCUCGCACUGUCAUAAACAAAUAAUGCCUGUACCAUAACCGACACAGGUGGGUAGGUAGAGUAUACUAAGGGGCGCGAGAUAACUCUCUCUAAGGAACUCGGCAAAAUGACUCCGUAACUUCGGGAGAAGGAGUGCCUUAUUUAUAAGGUUGCAAUAACAAGAUCCAAGCAACUGUUUAUCAAAAACACAGGUCUCCGCUAAGUCGUAAGACGAUGUAUGGGGGCUGACGCCUGCCCAGUGCCAGAAGGUUAAAGAAGUUGGUUAGCAUUCGCGAAGCUGAUAACUGAAGCCCUGGUGAACGGCGGCCGCAACAAUAACGGUCCUAAGGUAGCGAAAUUCCUUGUCGGGUAAGUUCCGACCCGCACGAAAGGCGUAAUGAUUUGGAUACUGUCUCGGAGAGGGGCUCGGUGAAAUAGACUUGUCUGUGAAGAUGCGGACUACCUGCACCAGGACAGAAAGACCCUAUGAAGCUUUACUGUAACUUGAGAUUGAAAUUGGACUUUACUUGCGCAGUAUAGGUGGGAGGCGUUGAUAAUAUUCUUGCGGGAUUAUUUGAGCCAUCAGUGAGAUACCACUCUUGUAAUGUUAGAUUUCUAACUUUGUAUCAUUAUCUGGUCAAAGGACAGUUUCAGGCGGGCAGUUUGACUGGGGCGGUCGCCUCCUAAACGGUAACGGAGGCGCACAAAGGUUUCCUCUGAACGGGUAGAAAUCGUAUCUAGAGUGUAAAGGCAUAAGGAAGCUUGACUGUGAGACCUACAAGUCGAGCAGGGACGAAAGUCGGUCUUAGUGAUCUGACGGUGCUGAGUGGAAAGGCCGUCACUCAACGGAUAAAAGUUACUCUAGGAUAACAGGCUGAUCUCCCCCAAGAGUUCACAUCGACGGGGAGGUUUGGCACCUCGAUGUCGGCUCAUCGCAUCCUGGGGCGGUAGUACGUCCCAAGGGUUGGGCUGUUCGCCCAUGAAAGCGGUACGCGAGCUGGGUUCAGAACGUCGUGAGACAGUUCGGUCCAUAUCCGGUGUAGGCGUUAGAAUAUUGAGAGGAGCCUUCUUUAGUACGAGAGGACCGAGAAGGACAUACCUCUGGUGUACCAGUUAUCGUGCCAACGGUAAACGCUGGGUAGCUAUGUAUGGAGUGGAUAACCGCUGAAAGCAUCUAAGUGGGAAGCCCACCUCAAGAUAAGUAUUCUC